AACCUUCAACCCCGAUUCAUUUGACUUGGGAGUUUGGACUUGGAGCGUGCUGGCGUGAGUCGGCUCCUCUGAAAUGUAUCAGCGGAAACCAAAUCCUUGGCUUUCUGGAUGUCAGUGUGAUAAUCGUGUUGCGCUGUCGUCCGUAGCUUAGGGUCCGCUUACAAUGGUCUUCGGACGAUUUAUCUC
rnacentral:misc_RNA from 1 species